rnacentral:tRNA from 1 species
GGGAAUGUGGCUUAGUGGUAGAGUUCUUGCCUGGCAUGCAUGAAAUCCUGGGUUUGAUUCCUCAGUACCA